GUGAAUCAUCGAAUCUUUGAACGCACAUUGCGCCUCUUGUUAGAGAGGCAUGCCUGUCUGAGCGUCGUUUAAAUCUCUAGGCCUCAUUUUCUUGGUGAGUGUCUGUCUUGGGCUUCGCCUGCCUGGCGUUGUCUGAAUGUCAUUGGUCUCAUCUGUGGACGAGUCCCGGUAGGGCAGACUGCAGUGGGACCCUAACCCCAUCUUGAAUUUGGCCUCAGAUCAGGUAGGAACACCGCCUGAACUUAAGCAUAUCAAUAAGCGGAGGA
rnacentral:misc_RNA from 1 species